UACAUAGGUAUACAAUUUACUAUCGAGAUUAAAUAGAUAGGAUACUCCAUCAGUAACUAAUUAAGGAUCUUUUUCUCUAAUUAUUAUCAAAUAUAUUCUCAUAUUUAAUCAAUAAAAAUCUCCUCCUAGUGCAUUCCGUAUUCUAUGUCAUAUUAGAGGUUUCUCAACAUCUUACGAACGGACGAAAAUCGCCUUAACUUGAUGUAACUUACCGUAACGAAAAAAGAGGGAGCACUCACUCUAUUCUAAAUUGAAUGAUUUAGGACUAUCGGAUGUGCACUUCCUUUCAUUAAGAUAUAUGCAUGCAGGGUUCUUUUAAACCAUUUGAGUUGUGGACAUAUCAGUAUAUAACUAUAUUACAAUCAGUUUUGUUGGUGCUGUAGCACGCAUACUUGUCAUUAGAAUAUACUCAACUCUAUUACUUUUACGAUAUAAAUGAUUCCCCUCCCCAAAAACAUUUUAAAAAACAUAUAGAUAAAUAAGGGUUUUAACGACAUGACAUAUAUAUCAAAGAUGCAUAAAAAAUGCCGCCUUUUCUUGCUGUUAGGAGUGGUUCCUAUUAUUUAUUUUUGAAUUAGUCGACUAAAUGUGGAGAUAAAUGAAGAUAUUAAAUUGUCUAAAACGACAUCUUGUCUCUUUAUCCGUUUUUUGUCGAGCCUGCGACUUUUGUCGAGCCUGCAACUUUUGUCUCAGAAAGCUCGACAUAAGGAUAGUAAUCCAGCGGCGGCGGCGUUAGCUAACUUCUUAAAACUUUAUAUUUUAGAAGGUGGAAGACCUGGAUGUUUCAUACUUUGUAUAUAGAUGCCUCAUGUUACGAAGUUUCUAUUAGUCACAUGUCCAAUGUCCUUGACCUCAUUUUCAUGGUUCAGUGGUCAAAAGUUAAGUUUUUGAGUUUUGGGCUUUUUUCUCAUACUAUAUGCAAUAGGUCAACUAUAUUUGGUGUAUGGAAAUAUUUUAUCAUCUAUAUGUCAGUCACGCAGCUUUUUUUUGACCUUGACCUCAUUUUCGCGGUUCAUUGCUCAGUGUUAAGUUUUUGUGUUUUGUUCUGUUUUUCUUAAACUAUAAUCAAUAGAUCAACUAUAUUUGUUGUAUGGAAGAAUUGUAAGCUGCACAUGCCUGCCUGUCAUGGUUCAUCUAACCUUGACCUCAUUUUCAUGGUUCAUUGAUCAAUGUUUAGUUUUCUUGAUUAAUGUUAAGUUUAUGUGACAGUUGAAAUAAAGCUUUAUAUUUAGGACAAUCAACAUAAUAUCAAUGAUUAGUAAAGAAGGCGAGACAUUUCAGCAUGUGCACUCUUGUAUUCAAUAUAUAUAUUUAAAGAAGUUGCUUUACACUGAUGUAUGUAUUUUUAUUAAGCAGAAUAUGUGAAAAAAUGGAUUAUAUGGUUAACGAGUUUUUGUAUUUGUUUAUGAAGUGACCAAAUUUCAUUUCUCUGUAACUUUCAAAAUUCAAUCAUUAUUAUUUGUCCACAAAUAGGUAUAGGAAAAGAUUAGUCUACUUUGGUGGAACGAUAAGAACUAGCUACGGUCAUAGGCACUGUUGAUAUAUUAGUCUGUUUGGCCUACAAAUCCACGCAAAACAUCUCAAUAAUACGGGUCCAAUAAUACAGUGAACUGCUGGUCUCGAGUAGAUAUAGAGUUGUGUUUUUUAAAGUCCAGCGCACUGGAGUGUGAAGUCUGGCGCUGUAGAUCUAAAGUCGAGCGCAAAAGAUGUUUAGUCCAGAGUUGGAGAUUUAAAUAUUAAAGUUGUGUCCUCUCAAUCACUUUUCAAUUCUUUAACAAAUGUUAAAAUCGUCGUGAAAUGCAUUGAAUACUCGCCACUGAUGUUUUAUUAAAAAAAAAAACAUUCAACAAUCACUCAGUCAAAUGCAAACCAAAUGCACAGAUUUUUUUUUAACAACGACUAUCAAAAACACUGUUCUUUUUAAAUGGAUAAGGGAGAUCAAUCGAACGCAUAUUCGACAUGUAAAUAAACGAAACUCAACGUAUUGUUAAGCAACAUUCAACAACACAAAUCCAAUUGGAACAAUAAUGUUGAACCACAACAAUAAAUUACAAGGUUGCAAAAUGAAUAUUAAACUGUUUACUGUUGUCUUAAAAGACGCUGCAAUAUCGUUAGAAAUUUUUACUGCAUAAAAUUACAGCUCCCUAACGAUACGUUCUUCGAGUUUUGUCCAUUCGUUAGAUGUUGAGAAACCUCUAUUAGCAAAGUUGUUAAUAUCUUUUAACACCUGUUAGCACAUUUUGAAUUCAAAUUCACAGCUUACAUUAUACAUUUUUUUAUAUUAAUCUUUUUUUAACAUUAUCUGUUUUUUACAAUACCAACCCAAAAAUAAAAGUAUAACAGUUUGAGUUUAGUUUAGUUUAGUUUUCGCCGUACCUACUCAAGCGAGAAAACCAAUCUCGUUGAGAUGACCAACGAUAAUCUAAAUAUGUACUGUUUUGAUAAAUUCAUAUAAAUAAAAGAUAUGGACAGGUUUUCAUCGUUCCUACAGCAACUCAGGUGUUAAAUUUAUACACAAAUAGAUAAUAUUAAUAAUAGUUCACGAACAGAGCUUGCAAUAUAUUUAAAAGCAGUUAAGUUUAUUUGCAGAAAAGUUUAUCUUUUAACAUGUAUUUUUGUCAUUCAGCUUGUUGAUAUUGAAUAAAUUCCACUAAGCAGUUUUUGUUCUGCGAUUCAUGUUUACUGUCGAUUAUUGAUACGCGAUUCAUUUUCACUGUAUGAACGAUUCAUUCUAUUGUAUAUAUUUUGCCAUCUUCGCUAGCCAAGGGUUACGAUCCACUCCCGUUCUCUUGGCUAGCGAAGAUGAUAUUUUUCAUUUUCACAAAAGAAAUUGAUUUAUGUUCAUCAUCUAAGAGUCGUUAUUGAAUAUAUUGUUUUGAAAAUUGGUCUAUGUUUUAUUUUAACAUGUUUGAAUUUUGUUCCGGUCUGAUGAUUUAAUGCAGAGUUAUGGUCCUUGGACUUAGAAAAUUCACUCAAAUAAUAAGUUUUCCACAUUUUCUUUCGUCAUGCUUGAAGAUAUUGAUUGUAAAAUUAGUAUAUCAUUUAAUGACAAGUUACAGAUCAAAUUUCGUAUUUUUUUCUGCUCUAAUGAUUGUGUGCAGAGUUGUGGUACUAGGACUUAGAAAAAUAAUGAUCAGUUUUCAACACUUUUUUCCUCAUGAUUGAAGAUAUUGACUUGAUAUUUGUUACAUAGUCUACACCAUCACAAUUUAUAGAUCGGGUUAGAUUUUUGUUUCAAAACAAUGAAUUUUUAAUUGGUAGGAGAUUAUGUAUUACCAUGAAAUACUCACAGAAUAUUAAUUUCUGAUAUGACAUUGAAAAGUUAUUUAACUUUAUUCUGAGAAAACACACAUUCAUGUUUAUUAGACAUUUUGAAGAUAAUUACAGAUAAGUUUAACAGAUUUUAAAAAGACAUUGUAUUUAUGAUUAACAAAAUUUUGAAUUCUUUUUUCUUUUGUUUGAUAAAUUGUUUGAAGAAUUAGCAUAUCAAAGAACCCAAGAAUUCAAUUUUUGAUGAAAUUAAACAAAAGUUUAAUUUGGGAUACUUUGGACAAUGAACAAAGCCCAUAUCGCAUAGUCAGCUAUAAAAGUCCCCGAAAUGACAAUGUAAAACACUAAAAACGAGAAAACGAACGUCAGAAUUUUGUAACAUAUUUUUUGUAUCAUAUUUAAAAGUUUAAAGCUUGUUAUUUGUAAAUUACAAUAUUUGCAGAAGAAAUUUAUAUAUUAAUGAAAAUCGGCAAAGAAAUAUUUUCCUUAAUUUGUGUACAAAGAAGUAAGUCCGGUUAAGACCACUUUUUGACCCCAAAAUAUAGCAGUUUUACAAAAUUGUUAAAAAAUAAACUUUUAACUAUUUAUUGGAAAGAAGAAUACUUACUUACGCAUCAUUGUCAAUAUAAUGGAAAUUGCGACUGUCGUACAAGUGAGCGGUUUAGCGCUACAAAACCAGGUUCAUUCCACCAUUUUCUACAUUUGAAAAUUCUUAUACCAAGUUAGGAAUUUGACAGUUGUCAUUCUUUUGAUGUGUUCAUCAUUUGAUUUUGCCAUUUGGUUAGGGUUUCCGUUUUGAGUCCCUCGGAGUUCAGUAUUUUUGUGAUUUAACUUUUUUUCUGUUACAUAAAUAUGGGCGGUUUUUGACAAAACAAAGCACAUAUAUCGAGUACUCGCAUCAUAAAGUCAUGCUUAAUUACUGAAAUCUUCACAAUUUUAGCAUUUGUGUUUAAUCUUUUUAUUUAAAUGUUAGUUGCAUUUGACGAUAAGAUUGAGAGUGAACAACAGAUGCGACCACUUUCUUUUUUGACAAAAUCCAUCUGAAAAAUGACAUAUUAUGGCAUAUUUGAUAGAUUUUUGUCGAGCCUGCAACUUUUGUUGCAGAAAGCUCGACAUAGGGAUAGUGAUCCGGCGGCGGCGG
rnacentral:lncRNA from 1 species